AGCGGCAGGCCUAACACAUGCAAGUCGAGGGGCAGCACAGGUAGCAAUACUGGGUGGCGACCGGCGGAUGGGUGCGUAACGCGUAUGCAACCUACCAUUGAUUGGGGCAUAGCCCGAAGAAAUUCGGAUUAAUACUCCAUAAUAUUCAUCAAAGGCAUCUUUUAUGAAUUAAAGCUUUUGCGAUCAAUGAUGGGCAUGCGUGACAUUAGUUAGUUGGUGAGGUAACAGCUCACCAAAACGAUGAUGUCUAGGGGUUCUGAGAGGAUUAUCCCCCACACUGGUACUGAGACACGGACCAGACUCCUACGGGAGGCAGCAGUGAGGAAUAUUGGUCAAUGGACGCAAGUCUGAACCAGCCAUGCCGCGUGCAGGAUGACGGCCCUAUGGGUUGUAAACUGCUUUUAUAUGGGAGCAAUAAGGUUUACGCGUAGACCGAUGAGAGUACCAUAUGAAUAAGCAUCGGCUAACUCCGUG
rnacentral:rRNA from 1 species